GAUGAACGCUGACAGAAUGCUUAACACAUGCAAGUCAACUUGAAUUUGGUUUUUAACUUAGAUUUGGGUGGCGGACGGGUGAGUAACGCGUAAAGAACUUGCCUCACAGCUAGGGACAACAUUUAGAAAUGAAUGCUAAUACCUGAUAUUAUGAUUUUAGGGCAUCCUAGAAUUAUGAAAGCUAUAUGCACUGUGAGAGAGCUUUGCGUCCCAUUAGCUAGUUGGAGAGGUAACAGCUCACCAAGGCGAUGAUGGGUAGCCGGCCUGAGAGGGUGAACGGCCACAAGGGGACUGAGACACGGCCCUUACUCCUACGGGAGGCAGCAGUGGGGAAUAUUGGACAAUGGACCAAGAGUCUGAUCCAGCAAUUCUGUGUGCACGAUGAAGUUUUUCGGAAUGUAAAGUGCUUUCAGUUGGGAAGAAAAAAAUGACGGUACCAACAGAAGAAGUGACGGCUAAAUACGUGCCAGCAGCCGCGGUAAUACGUAUGUCACGAGCGUUAUCCGGAUUUAUUGGGCGUAAAGCGCGUCUAGGUGGUUAUGUAAGUCUGAUGUGAAAAUGCAGGGCUCAACUCUGUAUUGCGUUGGAAACUGUAUAACUAGAGUACUGGAGAGGUAAGCGGAACUACAAGUGUAGAGGUGAAAUUCGUAGAUAUUUGUAGGAAUGCCGAUGGGGAAGCCAGCUUACUGGACAGAUACUGACGCUGAAGCGCGAAAGCGUGGGUAGCAAACAGG
rnacentral:rRNA from 1 species